UACGUAGGGUGCGAGCGUUAAUCGGAAUUACUGGGCGUAAAGCGUGCGCAGGCGGUUCGUUAAGUCAGAUGUGAAAGCCCCGGGCUCAACCUGGGAACUGCAUUUGAAACUGGCGGGCUUGAGUAUGGCAGAGGGGGGUGGAAUUCCGCGUGUAGCAGUGAAAUGCGUAGAGAUGCGGAGGAACACCGAUGGCGAAGGCAGCCCCCUGGGCCAAUACUGACGCUCAGGCACGAAAGCGUGGGUAGCAAACAGG
rnacentral:rRNA from 1 species